UCGGUUCAAUCACCGGGUCGCCGUGCUUGUGAUUAGGGAUGUCAAGAUACCCGAAAUUUUAUCCGAAUCCGAACCCGAAUGAAACGGAUAUAUCCGAUGGAUAUGGAUAUGGAUUCGGAUAUGGAUAUCAAAAAUAGAAACCCGACGGAUAUGGAUUCGGAUAUAGAUUUUGAUUGUACCCAACCCGAACCCGAACCCGACCCGAACCCGACCCAAAUCCGAAUUUAUUUUGUAUUAUAUAUAAUAUAUAUAAAAAAAUUUGAUGUUAUAUUUGAAUUUGUAUUUUAAAAAUUUAAGUUUAAUAUAAUAUAUUUUGAAAUAUUGAAAAAAGAAAUANUAUAUAUAUAUAUAUAAAAAUUUGAUGUUAUAUUUGAAUUUGUAUUUUAAAAAUUUAAAUUUAAUAUAAUAUAUUUUGAAAUAUUGAAAAAAGAAAUAAUUGUUUCGGGUUCAAAUUUUCGGGUUCGGGUUCGGAUUCGGGUUUCGGAUUUUUGGUCGGGUUCAAGUUUGGAUAUGGAUUUUUAAAAUCCGUCGGGUUCGGGUUCGGGUUCGGGUCUCAGGUUUGGAGUCGGGUUCGGGUUCGGGUUUUUAAAAAUCCGCCCCGA
rnacentral:lncRNA from 1 species